rnacentral:sRNA from 1 species
GCCAUCGACCGGUUCGUUCGGAAG